UGGGGAAUAUUGGACAAUGGGCGCAAGCCUGAUCCAGCCAUGCCGCGUGAGUGACGAAGGUCUUCGGAUUGUAAAGCUCUUUUUGGCGGGGACGAUAAUGACGGUACCCGCAGAAUAAGCCCCGGCUAACUUCGUGCCAGCAGCCGCGGUAAUACGAAGGGGGCUAGCGUUGUUCGGAAUUACUGGGCGUAAAGCGCACGUAGGCGGAUUUGUAAGUCAGGGGUGAAAUCCCGGGGCUCAACCUCGGAACUGCCUCUGAUACUGCGGAUCUCGAGUCCGGAAGAGGUGAGUGGAAUUCCUAGUGUAGAGGUGAAAUUCGUAGAUAUUAGGAAGAACACCAGUGGCGAAGGCGGCUCACUGGUCCGGUACUGACGCUGAGGUGCGAAAGCGUGGGGAGCAAACAGGAUUAGAUACCCCCGUAGUCCCUGAGCGGGCUGGCAAGGCGCAU
rnacentral:rRNA from 1 species